GACGAACGCUGGCGGCGUGCUUAACACAUGCAAGUCGAACGGAAAGGCCCUGCUUUUGUGGGGUGCUCGAGUGGCGAACGGGUGAGUAACACGUGAGUAACCUGCCCUUGACUUUGGGAUAACUUCAGGAAACUGGGGCUAAUACCGGAUAGGAGCUCCUGCUGCAUGGUGGGGGUUGGAAAGUUUCGGCGGUUGGGGAUGGACUCGCGGCUUAUCAGCUUGUUGGUGGGGUAGUGGCUUACCAAGGCUUUGACGGGUAGCCGGCCUGAGAGGGUGACCGGCCACAUUGGGGCUGAGAUACGGCCCAGACUCCUACGGGAGGCAGCAGUGGGGAAUAUUGCACAAUGGGCGGAAGCCUGUUGCAGCAACGCCGCGUGCGGGAUGACGGCCUUCGGGUUGUAAACCGCUUUCGCCUGUGACGAAGCGUGAGUGACGGUAAUGGGUAAAGAAGCACCGGCUAACUACGUG
rnacentral:rRNA from 1 species